GGGGAUGUAGCUCAGUGGUAGAGCGCCCGCUUCGCAUGCGGGAGGUCCAGGGUUCAAAUCCCUGCUUCUCCA